UACGUAGGGGGCAAGCGUUGUCCGGAAUCAUUGGGCGUAAAGAGCGUGUAGGCGGCUUGGUAAGUCCGCUGUGAAAGUCCAGGGCUCAACCCUGGAAUGCCGGUGGAAACUGCCAAGCUAGAGUCCGGAAGAGGCGAGUGGAAUUCCUGGUGUAGCGGUGGAAUGCGCAGAUAUCAGGAGGAACACCAAUAGCGAAGGCAGCUCGCUGGGACGUUACUGACACUGAGGCGCGAAAGCGUGGGGAGCGAACAGG
rnacentral:rRNA from 1 species